rnacentral:ribozyme from 15 species
GAAAGAAGAAAAAGAAGAGAAGUAGGAAAGAAAGGAAUAUCAUUGUUUACAGUUAAUUUCUUUGUCAUUAAUUGAAUCCUCGACAGGAGUAUCACAGUUACAGAACCAUUGAAUUUCUCCCUGUGUCCUUUCUUUGUGUUUUUGUAAUUCAUGUAGCCAACACUACAAGACAGCAGGUUUCUGCAUCUAAAGCCACGCAAUAGAAACGGUAA